rnacentral:rRNA from 1 species
UUAGAGGAAGUAAAAGUCGUAACAAGGUCUCCGUUGGUGAACCAGCGGAGGGAUCAUUACUGAGUUACCGCUCUACAACCCUUUGUGAACAUACCUCAACUGUUGCUUCGGCGGGCAGGAGGACAACCCCCUCGGGGGCGGUCCCCCUCCCGGCCGCGCCCUCACGGGCGUGGCGCCCGCCGGAGGAUACCAAACUCUAUUUUAACGACGUUUCUUCUGAGUGGCACAAGCAAAUAAUUAAAACUUUUAACAACGGAUCUCUUGGUUCUGGCAUCGAUGAAGAACGCAGCGAAAUGCGAUAAGUAAUGUGAAUUGCAGAAUUCAGUGAAUCAUCGAAUCUUUGAACGCACAUUGCGCCCGCCAGCAUUCUGGCGGGCAUGCCUGUUCGAGCGUCAUUUCAACCCUCAAGCCCUGCUUGGUGUUGGGGCCCUACGGUCGACGUAGGCCCUUAAAGGUAGUGGCGGACCCUCCCGGAGCCUCCUUUGCGUAGUAACUUAACGUCUCGCACUGGGAUCCGGAGGGACUCUUGCCGUAAAACCCCCAAAACUUUUACAGGUUGACCUCGGAUCAGGUAGGAAUACCCGCUGAACUUAAGCAUAUCAAUAA